rfam:Photobacterium profundum SS9 chromosome 2
UCACUGGCUAACGGUGAGGUCUGAAGGAAGCCAUAGGAAGUUAGAGAUACACAACUAACCGUAACCUGUUUCGGCGGUGUUGGUGGGUAAGCGUCCGAAAUAGCGCGAAGCCCAAUACUUAGUCAGACCAAUGUCGUGUUUGAGGGUGGAAUUUCUAACAGGGAGCCAGC